GCCUGGCUGCUCCUCAGCAUCCCCCCGGCAGUGCCUGGGGUGGGGAAGGACGACUCCAUCCCAUCCUAGGCCUGUCUCCUCUGGCUUUUCCAAGCUGGCUGGUAUUAAUGCCUCCAGGCACUUCCUGCAGGACCACAGUGCCAGGUGCUGCAGAUGCUGUUGAAGCCGCUGAGCAUCCUGACCUUUACACUGCUUUAAAAAAAAGUCCCAUUUCUGGCACACUGGCCCCGCUGCUGAAGAGCUGUUCCUCUUCCAGCUCCUUCACCUGCUGGGAUGAAAAGCUACAGGGUUGUGCUGCCAUGAAGAGGGACCCUGAUGGGCAAAGAGGAGCUUCAUGAAGUGCAACAAGGGGAAGUACAAACUCCUGCCCCUGGGGAGGAAUAACCCCACUCACCAGCACACACCAGGGACCAGCUGGAAAAGAACUUUGCAGGUAAAGACUUGGGGGGUCCUGGGGGACAACAAGCUGACCAUGAGCCAGCAGUGCAUUCUCAAAGCCAGCAACAUCAUGGCCUGGAUUAGGAAGAGUGUUGCCAGCAGGACAAGGGAGAAGAAGGAAGGUUUUGAUCCAUCCUUUUUGACUAAGGACUGCUGCCACUGGUGGAAACAGGACUGGCACCUGUGAGUGUUUCAGAUAUUUCUUGCCAGCUCUUAGGUCCAGCAAAGUGUUGCAUGAAGGAACUUUAACCCCAUUUCAAGGACUGGGAAGCAGGACACAGAUAGAGGGAAGGGACCUGCCCAGUGUCAUAUAAUUAAGCCAGUGGUGGGUUGGGAAGGCACCAGACCCUUCUCUGAGACCUGGUUCAGUUCCCUCUGUACUGGGUCAUGUUCUUGCAGGUCAUAUAUGUGUAUCCAAGAAUUGUGAGUCUACCCAAGAGGGUAAGACUGUCUGGACCAGUGAUCGGCAGGGAUCGCUGAAUGAGUUCACAGAAAAUGGGAAUGUUGUUAAAU